AUUUGCACCAGGCUAAACCCAGUCGAUAACAAUAUAGCUGUGACUGGAGGUCAAGAUGACCAGGCCUUGGUUUGGAAUACCCGAGAAGGUUCUAUCUACUUUCAGUGUACAGGUCACACAGACACAGUUGUCAGUGUUGGUUUCAGCCACGAUGGUAAGCUGGUAGCCACAGCUGACAUGAAAGGCCUGAUCAAAGUUUGGAAGGUGGAGACAGGAACAGUCGUCUGGUCAUUUGAUGGGACGGACCUAGAGUGGAUUCAGUGGCAUAAAGCUGCUCCUGUUCUACUGGCAGGCACCAAGGAGGGUGAGGUCUGGAUGUGGAAGAUACCGUCGGGAGACUGUAAAACGUUUGCUGGGCGUGGACCCAGUGCACAGUGUGGAUUAAUAAUGCCUGAUGG
rnacentral:sRNA from 1 species